UUGGAGGGCAAGUCUGGUGCCAGCAGCCGCGGUAAUUCCAGCUCCAAUAGCGUAUAUUAAAGUUGUUGCAGUUAAAAAGCUCGUAGUUGAAUUUCGGGGUCAGUAGGCUGGUCGUGCCACAGGUACGUACUGGUCUCACUGAUUCCUCCUUCCUGAUGAACCGUAAUGCCAUUAAUUUGGUGUUGCGGGGAAACUGGACUGUUACUUUGAAAAAAUUAGAGUGUUUAAAGCAGGCUAACGCUUGAAUACAUUAGCAUGGAAUAAUGAAAUAGGACGUUCGAUCCUAUUUUGUUGGUUUCUAGGAUUGACGUAAUGAUUAAUAGGGAUAGUUGGGGGCAUUAGUAUUCAAUUGUCAGAGGUGAAAUUCUUGGAUUUAUUGAAGACUAACUACUGCGAAAGCAUUUGCCAAGGAUGUUUUCAUUAAUCAAGAACGAAAGUUAGGGGAUCGAAGACGAUCAGAUACCGUCGUAGUCUUAACCAUAAACUAUGCCGACUAGGGAUCGGAUGAUGUUAAUUUUUUAAUGACUCAUUCGGCACCUUACGGGAAAC
rnacentral:rRNA from 1 species